CAUUGAGGCCUAGACUAUCAGAUCUCAACCCAUCUGUGUGCGGAGUCACGCCCGCACAGAUGUGUUCGGAGUCACGCCUGGACAGAUAUGUGUUCGGAGUCACGCCCGGACAGAUGUGUUCGGAGUCACGCCCGGACAGAUAUGUGUCCGGAGUCACGCCCGGACAGAUGUGU